UUUGAAUCUAUUACUUGCUUAAGCACAAAGUCGGGCACCAGAUUCUUCAACAAAACUUUUAGCAAAUAUACAAUAAUCUUUCCAGAUAUUAUUGGAGAGAUGAUUUUCAAGAGCACGAAUUCAGAAUCAAAUCUACUUGUUGAAUAAUAUGAGAACCCAAGUGGGCAAGUUUUAUCCUUAUAAAUUGUGCCUAUCAAGCGUUCGUUAUAAGGCAAGACAGAAGUGAUCAAAUACCCAGCAAAAGUAAGAAAGCAUUAAUCAAUGUCUAGGCAUGCCAUUAAUGGGGGCAGUCGGCAAACGGUUGAGUCUGCACCACCAAGACUAAUUCGGGUAGAGAGGCGGCCAAGCAUGGAGAAGAAGUUAGCUACCAUUAAAGAAGAUGAAUGCAGCAGUGGUGAUCAGCUUCAAAAUUUCCAUGGAAAUCGUGCUGUAGCAUUUGCAUCUUCUUCCUCGAAGACCCUUAACACUACAAAACACUAUGCUUGUAAUUAGUCUAGUUGUUUACGAUCAAUAAGGAUUUUCCAUUCGUACGUACGUUCUCAAUCAUGGAGUGAAUGCAUGGUAAAUAUGUGAUAACUCAAAGCAACUUUGUAACUGUUGUUUGAAACCUUAAGGACAUGAUUAAUUAUCUCAAUCCUUGAUCAUGUCAUGUUUUGGAGGUUAUUGUUCAUUUUCUUAUUUAUGUCGAGAGUUAUAGAACCAAUCAUGACAUGAGCUGCAGUUGCAUCUUUAAUUUUUAGGCCCGGAGGUUUUCGUUGAGUUUCUAAGGCUGGGUGAGGGUGCUGAGCUGUACCUCAGCCAUCUUCUUUGCCAAAGAGAUAGAAAUUAACGACAGGAGGCUGCUGAGGAGAGAGAAAAUCUCAGCAUGUUGAGGACCCGGCACAAUGUUGUCAAGCUCGACACAAGGGGCACUUCUAAGGGGUUUCCGGUGUGUCACCGGCAACACCUAUUUUUUCUGUCCGCAAUAGAAAAAUUUUCGAUUUUUUAAUUUUUUUACUUAUUUUUCAUGUAUUAAUACCUAUUUCAUCCCGGCAACAUCUACUAUGCAUUCUUGUGUCCUCCUCUGCUCCACACCAGCUUCUCCCUUACCCACAUCAGCUACCACAUCAUCAUACACUCCCACCCUCGCCCGGCCUAAGAUGUGGAAAAAGCUUUCUUAUGGUAAGAUGGUCAAUGCGUAGAACUCAGUUAAAUCUACUAAUAGUUUGAAUGAUAGUGACCCGAUCGACCAAAUAUAUCACGAUUUUGCUUAUGACUAAUUAAUAUAAAUAGAUAGUUCACCACAACAAAACGAUUUUUCACACAAGUAUAUUGGCAACGAAUUUCAACAGGCUAAUGGAUUCAAGAGUAGUUUAAGAUUAGAUUAGAUUUGUCAUUCCACUAAUAAUAAUAAUAAUCAAAAUAAUAAUAUUUUGUUUUUUUUUUUAAGUUAAAUAUAUAAUAAAUUAAGAGCAAAUAAGAAUUAUUAAUAUUCUUAUAUAUCUCAUUAGUUAAUUAACAUUAUCAUUAUUAUUAAUUAAUGUUAUUGCAAUUAUUGAUAUUAUUAUUUUUUAUCAUCAUUAUCAUUAUUAUUAUUAUUAUUAUUAUUAUUAUUAUAUAUAAUUAAAUCACAACAUGCUUAUGAACAGUACCCGAGUUGGGUACUGUUAAAACUCGGUUGACUCAACUUCUAGAUUCCACCGGGUUAAUCCAUCCACCGACUCCACCGCCUUUUUACUUCUCAUAUUCGAUCUGUUUGAUUAUUUGCGUUUGUGACAUCACCUCACCACCGCUUUAAUAUGUUUUGUCCUUCUAUUGGAGCGCUUUCCACCUUCUCCACCAUGAUAUAUGCAACUGGAAAGAGAUCAUCGAUCGUCGUCGCCGUCUCGACUAACACCACACGACCACCUUCACACCUGCUUCACCCCUAUCGUACCCCACCGUCGACGGUUUUCUGCAAGGCGCAUCGCUACCCAACAACUUUGUCGACGACGUUGCUAAGUUCGGUAACCUUGACCUUCUCAGCCAUCGGUAACGUCGAUCCUCUGAACAAUAUUCUAAAAUUAGUCAAAAGAUUUCAACAUUGAACCGCCUCUUUCAAUCUCAAUUUAUGAUUUCUAUGGGAUGAGAGGAGCAAGAAAGGGAUAACGACAGAUGGGUUUUCUCAAUAAAUUUCUAUCCCUCUCUCUGAUUUGACAUUGCCUUCUCAGUUUGACAGGCGUUUUAUUUCAAUUUGAUCAGUUGAAUCGCAUUUAUCACUGCUGGAACAAAGGAAUCUUCACAAGAAAGAGGUUAGGCCUAAGAAAAGGUUUGUAUUUCAGCUGCUUCAUUCUACAAAUCUUCUUCAACGUUUGUGUUUCCUUUCUUUUUUCAUACAUUUCUAAUUCUUGAUUGUUUGCUGUGUUAUUUGAAAUAAGGUGGUUAAUAGAAUCCUCAAAACGAGUCUGAAUUUCAACGUGAAAGGGAAACCAAAUAGAUUUCACUUCUAUUUAUUGUUGUGAGUUUACUUUGAGGCAAAUCGUAACUGUGUUUGUAAAAGCUAGAUUGGGCUGCUUAUUUGGAUGAAAACUAAAAUUGUUAAGUUACAGAGUGUUUGAUUUUCGUAUAUAGAUAGAAUAGAAAAAUGUUCAGAAAACAAUCCAGAAACGACAAGGGUUCUCAUUAGUUCUGUAUAUUGCCUUUAAGGUGUUUGUCAAAAUGCAUACUUUAUUGUACUAUGCCUACUUUAAGGUGUUUGUCAAAAUGCCUACUUUAUUGUACUAUUUUUUUUUUUUUUUAAGAUUAAAGAUACUUAUAAACAACAAAAACCAACAGGGGUAUUAUACUAUUUUACAAUCUAUGAAUUAAAACAUUUGAAUCUGUAAUCGCAUAUAUAGGUUAUCAAAUGCAUAGACCAAAUUAAAGAUCUUAUGAAGUGUGUUCGUGGCUGCCAUAUAAAGGAUUAAAACCAUCUCUAAGUUUAAAAAAAUUACCAAAAAAAACCCUAAUUUUUUUUACCAAACCGGGUCUUUUUGGUUCUUUUUAGUUCUUUUCCAGUUCUUUUGGUUCCAAAUCAAAUUACCCAUAAUUUUUGGUAUUUUUUUUUUCUGAUUCCGUAACCCACAAUAGUAGAAGGUUGUAACAGAAACAAAGAUUGUCAAAGUAUUGUUGUUCGGUAUAUUUACAUUAUUAUAACCCAUAAUAUUAGUGUACUAAUAAGUUUUUGUUGUUUUUUUUAAUUGAAAGUUAACUUUGAGCAACUUUUAGUUGAAGGUCAUUUUUUGAUUUGCAUAGGUAGGAAACUUUUUGGUUAAAGGUUACACAACCGUCUAGAGCAUUACCCGAUCUAUUUCCUCUUUAUCUUUUUUAAUCUUGAAACGAAUUAAAAAAAAUACUGAAGAGGGUUUAGAGCUUGAUUUUCUCUUUUGAUGAGCAUCACUUAGAAACACAAGUCAAGACCGCCAUACAAGUUGAGGCAACUUCUCAGGAAAUAUUUGUUGCUGCAGAAGCUAAGCUUACUGAUUUCAAACAGAUACUGGAAAGAUAAAAAAGAGAAAAGUAUAGACACUUGAAUGUAUUAUGGCCCAAGCAUGUGAAAAAUGAAACCUAUAUUUUCGAGAUUCAGACUAUUAUUGCCCAUGCAUAUGAUGAUAUCCAAACAGAAAAUUAAUAACUUUUGUAGCAAAUAAUCGAGAGAGGUAACUAUAACAUUCAGGACAUAUCACAUGUUAUCAGAAAGAAUAGAGAAAACUUCUUGUAAGUUGGACGACCAGAGGAAAUGAAGUUUGGUCCAAACCCGAGUCUAUUCAUCUAAAAAAUCAAUCAAAAUUUAUUAGGUUAUGCUAAAAGUCAUCACAGAUGACAGAUGAAUAUAGAAACUCUCCUGUGGGUACACAAUCGGAUCAGUUCCAUCUUUUCUUAGAAUGUUAUUCAUGUUGUCAAUGUCUUUUGGAUAUGUAAUGUAUCAACUUUCAAUACAAUAUUUCUAAAAGGUCCCCCUUGACAAAAAAAAAAAACAACAGCUAAUAAGCACCUAUCUAACCCAUGCAACGCAUGGGAUCUACACUAGUUAUACAAUUAAUUGCAAACAUCCUUAUGAACAGUGUCUCUUGGCUUAGUAAAUUUUUUGGUUUCGGCAUAUAUUAUUUAUCGUUGUGCCUCUAUCUACCUCUUUUCCUCUAACUCCAUUGAAACAAACUCUUUACGGGGUGUUUGGGAUUGCUUUUAAAACAAUUUUUGUCUUAUAACUUUUCCAAAAAAGUUAAAAAAUGGCUAAAAGAUAUUUGGGUAAUGCAAAAGAUCUUUUAAAAUAAUUUUUUAUGUUGGAGGAAAAAUUAAUGUUUCAAAAGUCAUAAAAUCCUAUCUUUUUGUGACUUUUAAGACUUUUUAACAUGAAAAUAUGACUUUUACUCUAAAAGCAAAUGCAAACACAUUUUAAAAACUAUCUUUUGAAAAAAAUCACUGGCCAAAAAGUCAUUUUAUAAAAAGGACUUUUAACAUCAAAAAGUAAUCUCAAACACUCCCUUCCUCUAACUCCAUUGAAACAAACAAGCCUUCAAUCCUUCUAGCAUAUGAAGUACGAACAAUACCCAUGCUCUUCGGAGAUGAAGACAGUCAUCGAGGUGCUCUCCCACCGUCAAUCUCAUCCAAUCUACUUCUUCCACGAUAGGCACUCUCUGAAAAAAAACAUACUCAUAUCGGAAAUUGGUAUCAAUUCUUGAAGUCAAUUUAAUUUCCAACUAGUGUUUGGACACGGAAGAGUGUUUAAGCAGAUUACAUUGCAAAAAUUAACAGUGUAUCAAACACUCAAAAGCUGAAAGAGUCCACUGCUAUAAAAGCCCCUUAUUGAAGCAACACUAUGGGAAAAGGUAGCUACCCCUUUCAACGCAGAAGUUAUGAAACCUUUAACACCACCAAUCCUUAUCACACUAACGUCGAUGAAAGUCAAGGAAGACUUCAAAUAAGCUCCACUAUCGGAACUUACAUCUAUUUGAAUCAUGUUAUUGACGAAACAAAAUCUUUAAUAUCUAGAUUCAACCAACCAAACCUGCAAAAUGUUGUCACGUAAUUGACCUUCAAAAAAAGAAACCUUAAUAACAAUAAGCAAUACAAAUGGGACAAAAAUUGCAGAUUAGGGAACACGUUUCACCUAUACUGCAGCGGUUUCAAGCAUAAAUGAGAGUCGCGGAUGUAUGACAUGUAGAAAGAAACUGCAACCACGCGUGCAUUGUGCAUUGUGAUUUCAUAUUGUCACGUUCAUAUUUUUUUUGAUUCUCUAGUACAUGCUUUUCAAAUAUUAGAUUUGUAACGGAUAGAUUUAUGUUUAAGUGAGUUUUUAUUUUUAAAUACUUCAUUUGUAUUAUUUAUUUGAAAAA